rnacentral:rRNA from 1 species
CCUACGGGAGGCAGCAGUGGGGAAUAUUGCACAAUGGGGGAAACCCUGAUGCAGCGACGCCGCGUGAGUGAAGAAGUAAUUCGUUAUGUAAAGCUCUAUUAGCAGGGAAGUAAAUUACGGUACCUGUGCAUUAAUCUCCGGCUAACUUCGUUCCAGCAGCCGCGGCAAUACGUAGGGGGCAAGCGUUAUCCGGAUUUACUGGGUGUAAAGGGAGCGUAGACGGCAGGUCAAGUCUGGAGUGAAAGGCGGGGGCUCAACCCCCGGACUGCACUGGAAACUGUAAGGCUGGAGUGCAGGAGAGGUAAGUGGAAUUCCUGGUGUAGCGGUGAAAUGCGUAGAUAUUAGGAGGAACACCAGUGGCGAAGGCAGCUUACUGGACUGUAACUGACGUUGAGGCUCGAAAGCGUGGGGAGCAAACAGGAUUAGAUACCCGAGUAGUC